ensembl:lncRNA
UGGUUAAGAAUGGUCUUCUGGAACUCUGUCUGUCACCCUAUUACACUCCAAUUUUGCCAGCACAGAAGGCAGGUGGUACCUAUGGGCUGGUACAAGAUCUAAGAAAAAUGAAUGAAACAAUUCCCAAGCGACGCCCCCUGGUUCCGAACCCCUAUGCUUUAAUGAGUCUGAUCCCACAGGAACAUGAAGGGUUUAGUGUGAUCGACCUAGAAAAUUGCUUUCUGGACCUGCUCUUGGGACUCAGGGAGUUGAGAUCUUUUUGCCUUUGAUUGAGAGGACCCCGAAAUGGGAUGCAAGCAGCAAAAAAGCUUCCUGCGGGAUCCCGCCCCUUGUACAGAUUGCUGUAUUAGUCAUUGUCACUGUCUGUCUUUGUAACUGGUCGAUGUUUGUGUUGUAAAAACGUUACCUGUGGAAUUCCCUUCCCUGCUUGAGGCAGCCUUGUCUUGCUGGGGGCCGCUGGUCACGACUCUUGCCCGGGGAACUCGGUGUUCCCGUGCCCUGGGGAAGCAGGUGGACUCCAUCACCCAGCCACACCCAGGGCAUUUUCACCCGGUACCGAAGAGCGGCUGGGAUAAGCAGCUGCUAUGGGAUGAAGGGGGUCCAAAGAAAUUCUGGAAAAGACCAUUCGGGGUCGUAUUUUGGCUCAGUGGAGAAACGCCACCCAUCAGCCGGGGGGAACGUGGGAAUGGAAGGCUGUUUCUGCAGUUGGAACGAACAAGAGGAGUCUUUUGUGGUCUGUGCUGCCAUCUGUUGUCCUUUGUGGGUACUAACAGUUCUUUCCGGGUUUCUCUUCAUUCCGACAAAGGGGGGUCUCUCAUAGUGCUCAUCACUCGUCCUUUAGGUAAACUUUCCAUGUCGUGGCAUGCUUAGUAGGUAGGUGAAGUAAGGAACAAGUAAUUAACAAGUACAAAGGCUGCAGCUUUUGUAUGAUAGACUACAAAGCGUAUUGAAAGGCUAUUCUGUUUUGCCAGGAGGCUCUUAGCAAAAGAACAACAGACUUAGCAAGCAGCAGAGAAGCCAGGGCCUCCGCAUGAGGUCGAACUGUCUCACUCUUGGCUCAAGAGGGAUGCAAGAGAUACUUCCCUCCACCCUCCUUCCAGCCUUCUCUCUGUCCUAGGACGAGCAGGUGUCCAGGAGUGGUGGCCUAGUGUUGAGUAAGCAAGGGUUGGAAGUCAAUUAAUUAGCAGUAUACGCUUAGCUAGCAACACUUUACGUUUAGCCAGGAUCUGUACGUUUAGUUGAGCGUCGGGAAGACUGUGAACCUGAAGUACUCAGCCAAUGAGGAACCAGGGGAGGAAGAGAGAAGCGUCGGCUAAUGGGGCUGAAAAGAUGUCAUCCUGUUUUCUGCGUGCCAUUGCAAUUGCAAAUAAAAUCUGCUUU